UCUGCCCCUAGAGGUGGCAGGUGUGGCUGCUGUGUCACUUGUGUGUCAGUAGGUGGCAGAGAGAAGAAAGGCUAUGUCUGCUCAGUGUUCUGACGUGUGAACAUCUGGAUGAUUGGUAGCCUUACUUC
ensembl:snoRNA LOC120102659 small nucleolar RNA SNORA17